rnacentral:snRNA from 1 species
GUGUUCGCUUCAGCCACACAUAUACUAACAUUGGAACUAUACAAGGAACAUCAUCACGGCCCCUGUGCAAGAUGACACGCACAUCUAUGACACAUUCCAUAUUUUG